GUAGGGUGCGAGCGUUAUCCGGAAUUAUUGGGCGUAAAGAGCUCGUAGGCGGUUUGUCGCGUCUGUCGUGAAAGUCCGGGGCUUAACCCCGGAUCUGCGGUGGGUACGGGCAGACUAGAGUGCAGUAGGGGAGACUGGAAUUCCUGGUGUAGCGGUGGAAUGCGCAGAUAUCAGGAGGAACACCGAUGGCGAAGGCAGGUCUCUGGGCUGUAACUGACGCUGAGGAGCGAAAGCAUGGGGAGCGAACAGGAUUAGAUACCCUGGUAGUCCAUGCCGUAAACGUUGGGCACUAGGUGUGGGGAACAUUCCACGUUUUCCGCGCCGCAGCUAACGCAUUAAGUGCCCCGCCUGGGGAGUACGGCCGCAAGGCUAAA
rnacentral:rRNA from 1 species